AUUGAACGCUGGCGGCAGGCCUAACACAUGCAAGUCGCACGAGUGGCGGACGGGUGAGUAAUGUCUGGGAAACUGCCUGAUGGAGGGGGAUAACUACUGGCAACGGUAGCUAAUACCGCAUACCAUCAGAUGUGCCCAGAUGGGAUUAGCUUGUUGGUGGGGUAACGGCUCACCAAGGCGACGAUCCCUAGCUGGUCUGAGAGGAUGACCAGCCACACGGGAAGUGAGACACGGUCCAGACUCGUACGGGAGGCAGCAGGGGGGAAUAUUCAGCAAUGGGCGCAAGCCUGAUGCGGCAAUGCCGCGUGGAUGAAGGAGUCCUUGGGGUUGUAAAGGAGUUUGAGCGGGGAGGCGUUACCCGCAGAAGAAGCACCGGCUAACUCCGUGCCAGCCGCCGCGGUAAUUC
rnacentral:rRNA from 1 species